AGAGUUUGAUCCUGGCUCAGGAUGAACGCUAGCGGCAAGCUUAACACAUGCAAGUCGAACGGUAACUUUUAGUGCUUGCACUGAAAGACGAGUGGCGGACGGGUGCGUAACGCGUAUGCAAUCUACCUUUUACUAGGGUAUAGCCCAGAGAAAUUUGGAUUAAUCCCCUAUAAUAUCAUGAAAUCGCAUGGUUUUAUGAUUAAAGCUUCGGCGGUAAAAGAUGAGCAUGCGUCCUAUUAGUUUGUAGGUGAGGUAACGGCUCACCUAGACUACGAUAGGUAGGGGCCCUGAGAGGGGGAUCCCCCACACUGGUACUGAGACACGGACCAGACUCCUACGGGAGGCAGCAGUGAGGAAUAUUGGACAAUGGGCGAAAGCCUGAUCCAGCUAUGCCGCGUGCAGGAUGACAGCCCUACGGGUUGUAAACUGCUUUUAUACAGGAAGAAACACCCCGACGUGUCGGGGCUUGACGGUACUGUAAGAAUAAGGAUCGGCUAACUCCGUGCCAGCAGCCGCGGUAAUACGGAGGAUCCAAGCGUUAUCCGGAAUUAUUGGGUUUAAAGGGUCCGCAGGCGGUUUUUUAAGUCAGAGGUGAAAUCCUGCAGCUCAACUGUAGAAUUGCCUUUGAAACUGAAAGACUUGAGUUAUUGUGAAGUGGUUAGAAUGUGUGGUGUAGCGGUGAAAUGCAUAGAUAUCACACAGAAUACCAAUUGCGAAGGCAGAUCACUAACAAUUAACUGACGCUCAGGGACGAAAGCGUGGGUAGCGAACAGGAUUAGAUACCCUGGUAGUCCACGCCGUAAACGAUGGAUACUAGCUGUAUGUCUACCUCAGGUAGAUGUGUGGCCAAGCGAAAGUGAUAAGUAUCCCACCUGGGGAGUACGAUCGCAAGAUUGAAACUCAAAGGAAUUGACGGGGGCCCGCACAAGCGGUGGAGCAUGU
rnacentral:rRNA from 1 species